AACGAACGCUGGCGGCAGGCUUAACACAUGCAAGUCGAACGCCCCGCAAGGGGAGUGGCAGACGGGUGAGUAACGCGUGGGAAUCUACCCAUCCCUACGGAAUAACGCAUGGAAACGUGUGCUAAUACCGUAUACGCCCUACGGGGGAAAGAUUUAUCGGGGAUGGAUGAGCCCGCGUUGGAUUAGCUCGUUGGUGGGGUAAACGCCUACCAAGGCGACGAUCCAUAGCUGGUCUGAGAGGAUGAUCAGCCACAUUGGGACUGAGACACGGCCCAAACUCCUACGGGAGGCAGCAGUGGGGAAUAUUGGACAAUGGGCGCAAGCCUGAGCCAGCCAUGCCGCGUGAGUGAUGAAGGCCUUAGGGUUGUAAAGCUCUUUCACCGGAGAAGAUAAUGACGGUAUCCGGAGAAGAAGCCCCGGCUAACUUCGUG
rnacentral:rRNA from 1 species